UUUUAAGGGAAAAAACACUUUCUCACGGACGGUGACAGCGACACGGAGAACAGUCUUCAGUACCUGCUGGUCUUUGAAGCUCUGGAUUGUGGGACUGUUGGAAAAGCUCCAACAAAAUGAGGAAGAGGAGGGGGAGAAACACAAUUAGAUUGAAUUACAAUUGGAUGGAUGUCGAGGACAAGGAGGAGGAAGCUUAGGAUGAGGAGGAAGAAAAGCAGCAGGAGCAUCUUUGGGGAUCUCUACGAUGUCAUUGAGAGGCGGCGGCGAGAGGGGAGACCUCGGCUCAUCCAGCUGGACAGCCUGACCAGGAGGAGUCGAACAUUAACUCGGCUCUUCCAGGGCACCCUGCAGACUCGGCUGCUGGCAACACUGGGAUGACGUGAACGCCAAACAGGAGUCCAUCACAGGUCGACUGCAGCUCCUUGUCUCAGAGUGGGAGGGAUUUGAAGCACAAAGGGAGGAGCUUGUCGUUUGGUUGGCUGAUAUGGAUGUCCACCUGAGUGAGGUUGACCAGCUGACAGGAAACACCUGUGAAAAACUGAAACAACUGCAGGUGUGGGGUUGUUUUGAUAUGACAUAUAUUUGAUAUGACACAUACAUCAGAGACAUUAUCCUAAACUGGACUAACAAAGAACCAUGAGUCCAACUAGGGCUGCUCAAUUAAUCGAAUUUUAAUCUCGAUUACGA